AUGAACGCUGGCGGCGUGCCUAACACAUGCAAGUCGAGCGAGAAGUUUGUAAGCCGAUCUUCGGAGAAGCGAGCAAGCGGAAAGCGGCGGACGGGUGGGUAACGCGUAGGCAACCUGCCCCAUACAGAGGGAUACCUUCGGGAAACCGGGAUUAAAACCUCAUAACGCCAUCGAGUCACAUGGUUUGAUGGCCAAAGAUUUAUCGGUAUGGGAUGGGCCUGCGUCUGAUUAGCUAGUUGGUGAGGUAACGGCUCACCAAGGCGACGAUCAGUAGCAGAACUGAGAGGUUCAUCUGCCACAUUGGAACUGAGACACGGUCCAAACUCCUACGGGAGGCAGCAGUGAGGAAUAUUGCACAAUGGGCGAAAGCCUGAUGCAGCAACGCCGCGUGAGUGAUGAAGGCCUUUGGGUCGUAAAACUCUGUCCUUGGGGAAGAAAAAAAUGACGGUACCCUUGGAGGAAGCCCCGGCUAACUACGU
rnacentral:rRNA from 1 species